GGGCCCGUAGCUCAGCAAGGAUCAGAGCGCCGGCCUGCGGAGCCGGAGGUCCCGGGUUCAAGUCCCGGCGGGCCCGCCA
rnacentral:tRNA from 1 species